CUCGGAUCGUUAAUUCUGCAUUCAUCAAAACAGGCUAGAAAAACAUCUGAUCAAAUUCUGUACAGCAGCAACAGUAUGGACAUGACUAUACAGAUACAGGUGUCAACUGUCAACAACUGACUGCAGUGAAGAAUGAAGAGUCCAGUUUAGAAGGCAGCACUGUGACUUUGACCUACAAAUACUCCCAACAAGCUACUGGUGGUGAUCAGUUUUUCUGGUAUCGACAACAUUCAGGAAAUCCUCCAGAGUUCCUCAUCUAUCACUAUGGAACACAAAGUGAAACAAAAGCCAGACUGUCUGUAACUGUGAGUGAUGAUAAAAACCAGAUCAGUAUGAAGAUCUUCCUCUGCUGCAGUGACAGACUCUGCUGUGUACUACUGUGCUGUGAAGCCCACAGUGACAGGAAACAGUAAAACUCUGUACAAAAACCUUUGGAGCAAAGACAACAGAAAACUCCACAACAUCCACUGGAGGGAGACACACUCUGUUAAAGCUCUGAUUUGUGACUUGUUGGACUGAUGGCAAAGACAACAGAGAAAUGAAGCAGCAAAGAUCAGAGACAGAGCUGCUGUGGAAACACAAAACAAUUUGAUUGGCUGAGCUGACCUGAAAAAAUGAUGUCAAGAGGUAAUGGCCCCGCCCACUGAACUUCAGCUCAUCCACUCACAUUAUUUCUUCCUCAUUGUGCUGCAGUGGAAGAACAUUGUUCAUCUGAUGUGUGUCUGACUUUAAUAACUCCAAAGACAUGUUGCUUUACCUCUUUUUGUUUUCAUCUCACUUCAUAGGACUAAAAGCUGAAGACACAAUCUCUCCUGAACGAGAUGAAGUCAGUGGAACAGAAGGAGAAUCUGUCACACUCAGGUGUAACUAUCAGACAGAUGAUAAUGACAUUACUCUAGACUGGUACAAACAUCAUUCUGACCUUCAGGCUCCUCAGUUCAUACUCUGGAAAGGAGCAAAGGGGAGCACAGAUGAACACAUUCCUGAUCAGCGAUAUGAAUCCCAAACAACAGAUACAUCAACUACAUUGACCAUCAAUCAGCUAACCCUGGCAGACACAGCUCUCUACUACUGUGCUCUAGAGACACAGUGAUACAAAGUGUAGCAGAGGCUGUACAAAAACCUGAACACAGAUAUGAGACUCCUCUUCAAAGAGGAGGGAAGUGGUAUUGAGAGCACAGCUUCAUAUCAGAUGGAUUGUGCUAAUUCCUGUUUUCUCACAGUCACUGUGGUUACAGCUGCUGAUGAAACACUGUGGGAGGAUUGACAGGAGCAGCAGAUCAGUGAUGCCUCCAGAAGAGAUGCUGCAGAGGAUUUGAGAGGAAAAGUUGGUCUACAAAAACACAUCUAGAGUUUAUCUAUGAUUCAAAUACUGAAAAUUUUGUCCUUGAUGAUACAGCAACAUAAGACGCAAUAAAACAUGUUGUUUUUGACUGA